GGCCUCGGCAAAUGAGGUCAAGA
rnacentral:snRNA from 1 species